AGUGAACGCUGGCAGCGUGCUUAACACAUGCAAGUCGAACGAGAACGGAAUAUAGCUUGCUAUAUUUGUCAGCUAAGUGGCGCACGGGCGAGUAAUGUAUAGAUAACCUGCCCUUAAGAAAGGAAUAACAGUUUGAAACGACUGCUAAUGCCCUAUAUGCCUUUAAUACAUAAGUAUGCAAGGGAAACGCUUUAGUGCUUAAGGAUGGGUCUGUAUGGUAUCAGCUUGUUGGUGAGGUAAUGGCUCACCAAGGCUAUGACGCCUAACUGGUUUGUGAGGGUGGUCAGUCUCACGGAAACUGAGACACGGUCGAGACUCCUACGGGAGGCAGCAGUUGGGAAUAUUGCACAAUGGACGAAGGUCUGAUGCAGCAACGCCGCGUGGAGGAUGACACAUUUCGGUGCGUAAACUCCUUUUAUAUAUGAAGAUAAUGACGGUACUAUAUGAAUAAGCACCGGCUAACUCCGUGCCAGCCGCCGCGGUAA
rnacentral:rRNA from 1 species